rnacentral:rRNA from 1 species
GCAUCGAUGAAGAACGCAGCGAAAUGCGAUAAGUAGUGUGAAUUGCAGAAUUCAGUGAAUCAUCGAAUCUUUGAACGCACAUUGCGCCCCUUGGUAUUCCAUGGGGCAUGCCUGUUCGAGCGUCAUUUGUACCUUCAAGCUCUGCUUGGUGUUGGGUGUUUGUCUCGCCUUUUGCGUGUAGACUCGCCUCAAAACGAUUGGCAGCCGGCGCAUUGAUUUCGGAGCGCAGUACAUCUCGCGCUUUGCACUCACAACGACGACGUCCAAAAAGUACAUUUUUUACACUCUUGACCUCGGAUCAGGUAGGGAUACCCGCUGAACUUAAGCAUAUCAAUAAGCGGAGGAA